ACUCCUACGGGAGGCAGCAGUGGGGAAUAUUGCACAAUGGAGGGAACUCUGAUGCAGCAACGCCGCGUGGAGGAAGAAGGUUUUCGGAUUGUAAACUCCUGUCAUUUGGGACGAUAAUGACGGUACCAAAGGAGGAAGCCACGGCUAACUACGUGCCAGCAGCCGCGGUAAU
rnacentral:rRNA from 1 species